rnacentral:rRNA from 1 species
GACGAACGCUGGCGGCGUGCCUAAUACAUGCAAGUAGAACGCACAGUUUAUACCGUAGCUUGCUACACCAUAAACUGUGAGUUGCGAACGGGUGAGUAACGCGUAGGUAACCUGCCUGGUAGCGGGGGAUAACUAUUGGAAACGAUAGCUAAUACCGCAUAAUAUUAAUUAUUGCAUGAUAAUUGAUUGAAAGAUGCAAUUGCAUCACUACCAGAUGGACCUGCGUUGUAUUAGCUAGUAGGUGAGGUAACGGCUCACCUAGGCGACGAUACAUAGCCGACCUGAGAGGGUGAUCGGCCACACUGGGACUGAGACACGGCCCAGACUCCUACGGGAGGCAGCAGUAGGGAAUCUUCGGCAAUGGACGAAAGUCUGACCGAGCAACGCCGCGUGAGUGAAGAAGGUUUUCGGAUCGUAAAGCUCUGUUGUAAGAGAAGAACGGGUGUGAGAGUGGAAAGUUCACACUGUGACGGUAGCUUACCAGAAAGGGACGGCUAACUACGUG